rnacentral:tRNA from 1 species
GCGGAUGUGGCGGAAUUGGCAGACGCGCCGGCUUUAGGUGCCGGUGGGUAUCACCCGUGGGGGUUCGAGUCCCUCCAUCCGCA